rnacentral:rRNA from 1 species
GUGGGUGACGAAGGCUUUCGGGUCGUAAAGCCCUGUCGGAAGAGAAGAAAAACGGUAUGGCUAACAUCCAUACCGCUUGACGGUACCUUCAAAGGAAGCACCGGCUAACUACGUGCCAGCAGCCGCGGUAAUACGUAGGGUGCGAGCGUUGUUCGGAAUCAUUGGGCGUAAAGCGCGUGCAGGUGGUUAGGUAAGUCGGAUGUGAAAUCCCUGGGCUCAACCGAGGAAGUGCAUUCGAAACUACCUAACUAGAGGACGGUAGAGGAAGGUAGAAUUCCUAGUGGAGAGGUGAAAUUCGUAGAUAUUAGGAGGAAUACCGGCGGCGAAGGCGGCUCUGGCCGUUCCUGACACUGAGACGCGAAAGCGUGGGUAGCAAACAGGAUUAGAUACCCUGGUAGUCCACGCCGUAAACGAUGGGUACUAGGUGUUGCGGGAA